UCUCCGUAGGUGAACCUGCGGAGGGCUCAUUACUGAGUGAGGGCUCACGCCCGACCUCCAACCCUUUGUGAACACAUCUUGUUGCUUCGGGGGCGACCCUGCCGGCACUCUGUCGCCGGGCGCCCCCGAAGGCCUUCAAACACUGCAUCUUUGCGUCGGAGUUUAAGUAAAUUAAACAAAACUCUCGACAACGGUUCUCUUGGUUCUGGCAUCGAUGAAGAACGCAGC
rnacentral:misc_RNA from 1 species